rnacentral:rRNA from 1 species
CGCGUAGGCGGUUUGGACAGUUAGGCGUGAAAUUCCUGGGCUCAACCUGGGAACUGCGCUUAAUACAUCCAGACUUGAGUGUGGAAGAGGGUUGUGGAAUUCCCAGUGUAGAGGUGAAAUUCGUAGAUAUUGGGAAGAACACCGGUGGCGAAGGCGGCAACCUGGUCCAUGACUGACGCUGAGGCGCGAAAGCGUGGGGAGCAAACA